CAGUCGCCGCGGUAAUACGGAGGGUGCAAGCGUUGUCCGGAUUUAUUGGGUUUAAAGGGUGCGUAGGCGGCUAUUUAAGUCAGCGGUGAAAGACUCCGGCUCAACCGGAGCAGUGCCAUUGAUACUGGAUAGCUUGAGUGUUGGAGGGGUACAUGGAAUUGAUGGUGUAGCGGUGAAAUGCAUAGAUACCAUCAGGAACACCGAUAGCGAAGGCAUUGUACUGGCCAACAACUGACGCUGAGGCACGAAAGCAUGGGGAGCGAACAGGAUUAGAUACCCCUGUAGUCCCUGUCUCUUAUAC
rnacentral:rRNA from 1 species